rnacentral:antisense_RNA from 1 species
GGGUGCUUGAGGCUAUCUGGCUUUGAGCAUUGACAAGGAUUCAGAUAGACGAAAGCCCCAGGAGAUAUUUCUAUCAACUGAGGCUGACGGAUGAACCUGAACAAUUCAGAUGUUAGUCUCUUCUUUGCAGGGAGGCAAGACAUG